UACGUAGGGGGCAAGCGUUGUCCGGAUUUAUUGGGCGUAAAGAGCUCGUAGGCGGUCUGUCGCGUCGGCUGUGAAAACUCGGGGCUCAACUCCGAGCUUGCAGUCGAUACGGGCAGGCUAGAGUUCGGCAGGGGAGACUGGAAUUCCUGGUGUAGCGGUGAAAUGCGCAGAUAUCAGGAGGAACACCGGUGGCGAAGGCGGGUCUCUGGGCCGAUAUUGACGCUGAGGAGCGAAAGCGUGGGGAGCAAACAGG
rnacentral:rRNA from 1 species